UACGUAGGGGGCAAGCGUUGUUCGGAAUUACUGGGCGUAAAGGGCGCGUAGGCGGUACGACAAGUCGGGAGUGAAAGUCCGGGGCUCAACCCCGAGACGGCUUUCGAAACUGUCGAACUUGAGUGCAGAAGAGGCAACUGGAAUUCCCAGUGUAGCGGUGAAAUGCGUAGAUAUUGGGAAGAACACCUGAGGCGAAGGCGGGUUGCUGGGCUGACACUGACGCUGAGGCGCGAAAGCCAGGGGAGCGAACGGG
rnacentral:rRNA from 1 species